UCCUCCGCGCAAACCUUCAACGGAGGAAAACUCAAAUAGCAAGGGAAAAGAAUGGGACUCUUGGUUUGGUUCAGGGGGCAAUUCACCCUCAUCGGAAACCAGAAAGAGGCCGGCAACCCGGCCAGAUAGCUCCUCCACUAGGAGGCAAGUCCCUAGACCUUGGAUGUAGGGUAGCCCAGUGCUCAAUUUGGAGUUAAACCAA
rnacentral:lncRNA from 1 species